rnacentral:tRNA from 1 species
CGGGGAUUGGCGCAGCGGUAGCGCGCUCGCUUUGGGAGCGAGAGGUCGUGAGUUCAAAUCUCACAUCCCCGA